UACGGAAGGUGCGAGCGUUGUUCGGAAUGACUGGGCGUAAAGCGCACGUAGGCGGUUUUGUAAGUCGGAUGUGAAAUCCCUGGGCUCAACCCGGGAACUGCAUCCGAAACUGCUAAACUUGAAUGCUUGAGAGGUUGGUGGAAUUCCUGGUGUAGGAGUGAAAUCCGUAGAUAUCAGGAGGAACAUCGGAGGCGAAGGCGGCCAACUGGCGAUGCAUUGACGCUGAGGUGCGAAAGCGUGGGGAGCAAACAGG
rnacentral:rRNA from 1 species